rnacentral:rRNA from 1 species
UACGAAGGGGGCUAGCGUUGCUCGGAAUCACUGGGCGUAAAGGGUGCGUAGGCGGGUCUUUAAGUCAGGGGUGAAAUCCUGGAGCUCAACUCCAGAACUGCCUUUGAUACUGGCGAUCUUGAGUCCGGGAGAGGUGAGUGGAACUGCGAGUGUAGAGGUGAAAUGCGUAGAUAUCGUUUGGAACGCCAAUGGUGAAAACAGCUAGCUGGGGAUGUGCCGACGCUGAGACACGAAAGCCAGGGGAGCGAACGGG